CCUACGGGUGGCAGCAGUGAGGAAUAUUGGUCAAUGGACGAGAGUCUGAACCAGCCAAGUAGCGUGAAGGAUGACUGCCCUAUGGGUUGUAAACUUCUUUUAUAUGGGAAUAAAAUGUUCCACGUGUGGGAUUUUGUAUGUACCAUAUGAAUAAGGAUCGGCUAACUCCGUGCCAGCAGCCGCGGUAAUACGGAGGAUCCGAGCGUUAUCCGGAUUUAUUGGGUUUAAAGGGAGCGUAGGUGGAUUGUUAAGUCAGUGGUGAAAGUUUGCGGCUCAACCGUAAAAUUGCAGUUGAAACUGGCAGUCUUGAGUACAGUAGAGGUGGGCGGAAUUCGUGGUGUAGCGGUGAAAUGCUUAGAUAACACGAAGAACUGCGAUUGCGAAGGCAGUUCACUGGACUGCAACUGACACUGAGGCUCGAAAGUGUGGGUAUCAAACAGGAUUAGAUACCCUAGUAGU
rnacentral:rRNA from 1 species